rnacentral:rRNA from 1 species
GAAUUGCGAUAAGUAAUGUGAAUUGCAGAAUUCAGUGAAUCAUCGAAUCUUUGAACGCACCUUGCACCUUCCAGUACUCUGGAGGGUAUGCCCGGUUGAGUAUUAUGAUCACAUCAAACCUUUGAUUUUCUUAUUGCAAAGACCAAUGCUUGGAUGAAAGCACUCAUUGGGGUGCUAGUAGUUGCUGCUUGGUUUGGAGGAUCAUUAGGUCUUGGACUUGAGCACUGUUGGUUCCCUCUGGAUCAACUUGCUUGAAAUGAAUUAGCUGGCGACCUGCCUUCAAUGGUUACCACUCGGCGUAGUAAGUCUUAUUCGUCGAGGACACCUUGUACCUUCAUGGGAAAAGGUGGCCAUUGUGCUGUAUCUUGAUAGCCGCUUCUAAUCGUCUCUGGACAAUAUAACGAACUCUUUAAUCUCAACUCGGGUAGGACUACCCGCUGAACUUAAGCAUAUCAAUAAGCGGAGGAAAAGAAACU